rnacentral:rRNA from 1 species
UGGAGAGUUUGAUCCUGGCUCAGGACGAACGCUGGCGGCGUGCUUAACACAUGCAAGUCGAACGGAAAGGCCCCUUCGGGGGUACUCGAGUGGCGAACGGGUGAGUAACACGUGGGUAAUCUGCCCUGCACACUGGGAUAAGCCUGGGAAACUGGGUCUAAUACCGGAUAGGACCUCUCGGCGCAUGCCUAAGAGGUGGAAAGCUUUUGCGGUGUGGGAUGGGCCCGCGGCCUAUCAGCUUGUUGGUGGGGUGACGGCCUACCAAGGCGACGACGGGUAGCCGGCCUGAGAGGGUGUCCGGCCACACUGGGACUGAGAUACGGCCCAGACUCCUACGGGAGGCAGCAGUGGGGAAUAUUGCACAAUGGGCGCAAGCCUGAUGCAGCGACGCCGCGUGGGGGAUGACGGCCUUCGGGUUGUAAACCUCUUUCAGCAGGGACGAAGCGCAAGUGACGGUACCUGCAGAAGAAGCACCGGCCAACUACGUGCCAGCAGCCGCGGUA